GGGGGCAGCCGCCUAAGGUAAAACCAAUGACUGGGGUGAAGUCGUAACAAGGUAGCCGUAUCGGAAGGUGCGGCUGGAUCACCUCCUUU
rnacentral:rRNA from 1 species